CGAACGGCAGCGCGGGAGCAAUCCUGGCGGCGAGUGGCGAACGGGUGAGUAAUACAUCGGAACGUGCCCAAUCGUGAGGGAUAACGCAGCGAAAGCUGUGCUAAUACCGCAUACGAUCUACGGAUGAAAGCAGGGGAUCGCAAGACCUUGCGCGAAUGGAGCGGCCGAUGGCAGAUUAGGUAGUUGGUGAGGUAAAGGCUCACCAAGCCUUCGAUCUGUAGCUGGUCUGAGAGGACGACCAGCCACACUGGGACUGAGACACGGCCCAGACUCCUACGGGAGGCAGCAGUGGGGAAUUUUGGACAAUGGGCGAAAGCCUGAUCCAGCCAUGCCGCGUGCAGGAUGAAGGCCUUCGGGUUGUAAACUGCUUUUGUACGGAACGAAACGGCCUUUUCUAAUAAAGAGGGCUAAUGACGGUACCGUAAGAAUAAGCACCGGCUAACUACGUGCCAGCAGCCGCGGUAAUACGUAGGGUGCAAGCGUUAAUCGGAAUUACUGGGCGUAAAGCGUGCGCAGGCGGUUAUGUAAGACAGUUGUGAAAUCCCCGGGCUCAACCUGGGAACUGCAUCUGUGACUGCAUAGCUAGAGUACGGUAGAGGGGGAUGGAAUUCCGCGUGUAGCAGUGAAAUGCGUAGAUAUGCGGAGGAACACCGAUGGCGAAGG
rnacentral:rRNA from 1 species